rnacentral:lncRNA from 1 species
UGCCUUGAGUACGUCGUCAAUGUGGAGACAUCAUUGCCAUCGAGCAUGUUGACCUCUCCCACGUAGCGAAUGGUUGGAUGGCCACAAUCCUCUUCUGGUGGACCCACCUCCUCUUCCUCGUCUUCUUUCCUUCUCAACCCCCUACACCUUUGAUGAGCUCUCAUCAGUAGUGAUGAUGUCGCAUACUGGCUUGUGACCAUCCGAGCAACCAUGGUUGGACUCCACAAUGGUCUUCACU